CUGCUGCCUCCCGUAGGAGUUUGGGCCGUGUCUCAGUCCCAAUGUGGCCGUUCACCCUCUCAGGCCGGCUACUGAUCGUCGCCUUGGUGGGCCGUUACCCCGCCAACAAGCUAAUCAGACGCGGGUCCAUCUUACACCACCGGAGUUUUUCACACAAAUCCAUGCGGCUUCGUGCGCUUAUGCGGUAUUAGCACCUAUUUCUAAGUGUUAUCCCCCAGUGUAAGGCAGGUUACCCACGCGUUACUCACCCGUCCGCCACUAAGAUUA
rnacentral:rRNA from 1 species